GGACAGCCCACCAGGGUCUGCUUCUGUGAGGGGCCGAGGCGUCAUUCCGCGAAGCCUUCUCCUUGCUGUUGCCAUGUGAAGAAGGAUGUGUUUGCUUCCCCUUCUGCCAUGAUUGUAAGUUUUCUGAAGCCUCUCCAGCCAUGCCAAACUGCUGAACUGUGGCUCCACCAAAUUCAUAAUUUGAAGUCCCAACCCCUAGUAUCUCAGGAUGUAACUGUAUUUAAAGAUAAGGUGUGUAUAGAGGUGGUUAUGCUAAAGUAAAGCUGCUAGGAUGGGGGCUCUAAUCCCGUAUGAAUAGUGUCCUUAUAAAAAGCCAUCAGGGGCCUGUCCGCACAGGGAAACACCAUGUGAGGAUACAGAAAACAACCAUCUGCAAGAAAGGAGAGAGAUCUUAGAAGAAAACAGACCUGCCAGCACUGUAAUCUUCAACUG
rnacentral:lncRNA from 1 species